rnacentral:rRNA from 1 species
AUACAGAGGGUGCAAGCGUUAAUCGGAAUUACUGGGCGUAAAGCGUGCGUAGUCGGCUUUUUAAGUCGGGUGUGAAAUCCCCGGGCUCAACCUGGGAAUUGCAUUCGAUACUGGAUAGCUAGAGUUCGGCAGAGGGAAGUGGAAUUUCUGGUGUAGCGGUGAAAUGCGUAGAUAUCAGAAGGAACAUCAGUGGCGAAAGCGACUUCCUGGACCAGAACUGACGAUCAGGCACGAAAGCGUGGGGAGCAAACAG